AUCUCUGCCACACAUUUUCAGGGAUCAUUUCUGUAGUUGGUGUCCCUGCAUUCCGCUCAUGUGGGGCUUUUGGCCUGCUGAUAUGUCCUCCACAGGAGGUCUAUAUUGAGCAGAUUCUUUUUGGUGUUGGUUGGUGGAACCGGAGCGUGCUCCAUCCACUCCAUGCAUUGACCUGGUAUUACAGUGCUUCCAGGACCAGUGCAAAAAAA
ensembl:snRNA U2 U2 spliceosomal RNA